AUUAACAACAGGAGGGAUAUGUUAAGAGAUUUUCAAAUGUUUCAAGUAUUAUUCCCACUUCUAUUCAUAUGUUAUUGAAAGUUUAUCUUUAAUUUUAGUGUUAAUAGUUGUUUACCCAUUUAUUCUUUCCAUUUAAUCGUAUUUUAUGAUUUUACUGUUUCGCUGAAGUGAAGCUUAAAUGAAAGACAAAAGCAUAGUGUUCUCAGAUAUGAUUCACCCAGUAUAUUUCCUCUGCACCUGGCUCUCUAUGAGCCGUUUCACUCCCAGGAAGGGGAGAGCAGGACGUUCUUAUCUAUACACUCCCAAAUACAAAGAGGGGCCCAUUCUUCAGAAUCACACACACACACACACUCUGAGAUCAUAAACUUCACACACACACACACACAUACUCUGAAACGCUAUAAAUAAAGAACUGCCACAAAUGCUGGUUGUGAGCCUGAGACAGCAGCGCUCACCCAGCGUGCGCACGUUGUUACCAUCUAAACUGCCUUGAGUGUCUUUAUUUCGCCUGAAGAAUGUCUUGUUUAAAUAUUUACUCUUUACAACAGGAAACUGAGGCUGCAAUUCCCACGGGCUCACCAAAACUGGACAAGAGAAGACUGGAAAAAUGUUGGCUGUUCUGAUGAGUCUCCAUUUCUGCAAGGAUAACACAGCACAAUCAAGGUUUAGCAAAUAAAGUGUCAGCAAUGGCUCAGUGAGUUCAAUGGAAAUGACUUUCCAGAGGAAAUCUAAAAAAAUCCCAAUGAUGGUCAAGAAAAGGACUUUGAGACCUUGCAGUCACUCAGUUGACCACCAGCCAACAGCAGCAACUCUACUACAGAAUGACUGGAAGAGAAAAGAAUGGAGGGGUUAAUUCUCCAGGCAAAGUCCAGAUCUCAACACGCUGUAAAGAAGAAAACUAAAUAAACUGUAAAACCUGGAUUUUUUUUAUAUAAAUUUGUGGACUGUGAGAUUUUGCAAAACUUCUCAUUGGAAAAAUAAAGAGUGUGUUGCACAACUCCC